GGGGGGCAACUUCCUAUUUUAGUGGCGAACGGGUGCGUAAUGCGUAGGAACCUGCCCUAAUGUGGGGGAUAACUCGGGGAAACUCGGGCUAAUACCGCAUGUGCUCUACGGAGCAAAGGGGGCUCUUAUUAGCUCUCGCGUUGGGAUGGGCCUACGUCGGAUUAGCUUGUUGGUGGGGUAAUAGCCCACCAAGGCUUCGAUCCGUAGCUGGUCUGAGAGGAUGAUCAGCCACACUGGGACUGAGAUACGGCCCAGACUCCUACGGGAGGCAGCAGUGGGGAAUAUUGGACAAUGGGCGAAAGCCUGAUCCAGCAAUACCGCGUGUGCGAUGAAGGCCUUCGGGUUGUAAAGCACUUUCAGUGGGGAGAAAAUGUAUGAAAUUAAUACCUUCAUGCCUUGAUGUUACCCGCAGAAGAAGCACCGGCUAACUCUGUGCCAGCAGCCGCGGUAAUACAGGGGGUGCGAGCGUUAAUCGGAAUUACUGGGCGUAAAGCGUGCGUAGGCGGAUAUUUAAGUCGGAUGUGAAAGCCCUAGGCUUAACCUAGGAACUGCAUUCGAAACUGAAUGUCUAGAGUAUGGUAGAGGAAAGCGGAAUUCCCGGUGUAGCGGUGGAAUGCGUAGAUAUCGGGAAGAACACCAGUGGCGAAGGCGGCUUUCUGGACCAAUACUGACGCUGAGGUACGAAAGCGUGGGGAGCAAACAGGAUUAGACACCCUGGUAGUCCACGCCGUAAACGUUGGGUGCUAGGUGUCGCGGGUAUUGACCCCUGCGGUGCCG
rnacentral:rRNA from 1 species